UACGUAGGGGGCGAGCGUUGUCCGGAAUCAUUGGGCGUAAAGCGCGUGUAGGCGGCUCGAUAAGUCCGGUGUGAAACCUUGGGGCUCAACCCCCAAGCCUGCACUGGAUACUGCCGAGCUAGAGUCCGGGAGGGGAGAGCGGAAUUCCUAGUGUAGCGGUGAAAUGACGCAGAUAUUAGGAAGAACACCGGUGGCCGAAGGCGGCUCUCUGGAACGGUACUGACGCUGAGACGCGAAAGCGUGGG
rnacentral:rRNA from 1 species